GCGCGCGUAGCUCAACGGCAGAGCAAUUGUCUUAUACACAAUCGGUUCUUGGUUCGAAUCCAAGCGCGCGCA
rnacentral:tRNA from 1 species